rnacentral:rRNA from 1 species
UGCCAGCAGCCGCGGUAAUACGGAGGGGGUUAGCGUUGUUCGGAAUUACUGGGCGUAAAGCGCGUGUAGGCGGUUCGUUAAGUCUGAUGUGAAAGCCCGGGGCUCAACCCCGGAAGUGCAUUGGAAACUGGCGAACUUGAGUACGGGAGAGGAAAGUGGAAUUCCGAGUGUAGGGGUGAAAUCCGUAGAUAUUCGGAGGAACACCAGUGGCGAAGGCGGCUUUCUGGGCCGGUACUGACGCUGAGGUGCGAAAGCGUGGGGAGCAAACAGGAUUAGAUA